GGUGUGUCAGGGGUCAGGUACUGCAAAAAUACAAGUUCCAGUUGAACCAAAAUCGGGACUGUGAAAGAUCUGCAUUCUAGUGCGGUUGACAUUUAAAGGAUUGAGCCGACAUCUGCAGCUGUUUACUUUGAAUGCGAUCUUCUCAACAAGGCGUAACAUUGCCUUUAAAUGCUACAUAGCCGAAAAGGGGGCCAUCGGACUGAAUCCUUGCCUCAGUAAAGAUGUUUUCUAUUGCUUCUGAAAACUCUCCAAUGAACACAAGGUGACAAUUCCCUCCAAAACCUGGCCGAGAGAACUAAGAGUGAGAGUUUGGACGAGGACACAUUGGGAUGGCAAGGUGACAUGGUGGAGGGUGAAGGAUGGGGAUUCCAAGCGUUCCUCCCAAUUUGUCAUGCGCCUUAUUGACAGGCCAACGCUGGGAAAUACUGGGUUUCUCCCGUUCUCCGUUGACGUCCCCACACUGGCCCGGCUGCUGGCUCAGUGCCAACUGAUAAGACCGCCGCAUACCACCUGUAUUAAUGAUUGGUCAAGCCCGCCUUCUACUCCAGCAGUUACCAGAGAACACAUGUCAGAUUAGAGAAAAGUUGAACCCCUCUGUAAAAUGGUAAUAUUCGAACAUCUACAGAAAAAAUGAUGACUGGAGCAAAGAUGUCUUCUUAAAUCGAACUCAACAAUCAAGAACAGCAACGCCUGAGACUGUCUUUCUGUUCUUUCAGACAAUCCAACCAAACCCAACAUCAAAAGGAGUUCAACCCCAACCCAUCAGAGAAGCUGCAUUGGAGCCAUAGCCUAAAUCUAAAGAGGAUAUUUUAACAGGACAGCACACUCUAGCUCAGUUACUCAGACAGUUUUUGUUUGAAAUGUAAAAUUCCCACCUAAUUAUUAGGCCUCCCUCUCAUGUUUCACUUGCUAACCAAUGUAGCGUCCAUCCUCCCUCUUCAGAUUAACCUAUUUCUCAUAUUUCAUUUGGAAAGAGGUUCCAGCCCAGGACAAGGCUCACUUCUACACCAUAUUCCCUGUGUCUCAGUUUCGCCCCCGGUCCUGGCAUUUGCACCGGGCGCUGACCCAGGGGCCGUCAGUCUGUGGUGGAUAAAAUAAAAUCCUAGUUAAUGAGUAGCCCGUGGCGCUGUGGCCUGCUGCUACAUGUGUGGGGGCCAAGGACAGCGACAGAUAAGGCCAGCCCAGCAGACAUGGCCAGGGAGAAGAGGGAGGGGACCAACCGCAAACGGGCUUGUGUUGGUGACAAUGGAAGCCACCUAUUGGAAGGUAUAGUUUCUGUCAUAAUCAUCCAACCAUGUGAUUCCUUAUUCCAUCUAGAGCUAAUAGUUAUCCCUGACUGUUGAGAUAUACUGUAUUAUGAGGGCCAGACUGGGUGAAGUAGCCAUUACUACUGGAUUUUUCUGUCUGUGACCUCUGAACUCUCACCCAGUUGGCUAAAUUCAGUCUACUUCCUCUUAUUUCCUCAUUUUUAAAGUACAGUAUCUAAUAUAAUCACUGUGAAUUUACACAACCACAAAAAGUGAACAACUGUCAAUUCUCGGGUGGGAAAAACACAGAAUCCCAAAAACUCUCAAAAAGCUUUGCUAGAGUAGGUGUUAUUAGAAAGCCUUAUGCAAGAGAAACAGGCACUUCACACUAAACCCUUGUAAGUCAAAUGGGUAUCCUUUGUAAUCUACUAUAAAGAUGCUUACGCAAACACCUGUUGUCCAGUAAAAUAACUGCCGGAAAGCUUGGCGCAACAACUAUUGGGGAUUUGGAUUCAUUUGGAUCGAUAUUUCAGAUACUCCUCUUUCCCCACCUCUUCCCGCUCACCGUCCUUGUUCGACCAGACUGGCUAAUGAGUUACCUGGGAUCUCUGCCCCAUCCCACUCACCCCUACCUCCCCCUACCUCACCCACCCCACCAGCUCCCAGUCACUCUACUCAUCCCGUCCAUUCCUCCCCUCCUCUCUGACCCCCACACCCCUAUACCUUAGUCCAUUAUCUGCCAGCCUUCACCCGGGCGAACAAACUGUUCAAUGUUCGCCUCUUGCUCCCCUCUCCCUUAUACACGUCCCCAGGUCACCAAGUCCAAAAAGAGAGGGCCAACAGAAAGUUAACCCUAUCCAGUGUAGGCUGCCAACCUGGUUAUCUCUAUGGCCAAAGACUACUGUCCUCUGAGAGAUUGAUUGCUCUACCCUAUUCUCUAGCAUAGGAAUUGAACUUUGUUCUGGAUUUUUGGGUGUCACUUUGACUAUAACGGAUAAUUGACAUUUAUAAAACAUUAGUGUUGGGUUGUUUGAAAAACUGGUACCUAAAUACAAAAUUAAAGGAUGAAAAGUGCUUUAAUUUUGAGUGUCAUUGUGCAUUGUUAUGGCCAUAGCAUAAGGCUAGGUGGGCCCAGAGCUUGUGUUUGAAUAGGCGUCACCCCAGCUAAUGGGUGCUAGUACUCCACCCAGUUUCACGCUCAAAAUGGCUACCAAGCCACAGGAUUAGAUCUGCACCGUUUCUUCUCCAAACCCUUAGACCGUGCAAAUGGCUUUCUCAAGAUCCGGGUAGCAUUAACUGUGUGUGCGUGUUUGUGUGUGAGAGAGAUAGAGCGAGAGAGAGAGAGAAAGAGAGAGAGAGAGUCAGGUGAGUUGUUUCUAAAGUCUCCCUUACAUUGCCCUGUAGAAAUGAUGUGUGCACACCUUCAGAAGGAAAUCUAAAUGUACACAGAGAGCUAUGACAUGAAUAAUAUGCACGUCAAUCUCUCCUGGCUCAAAGUAGAGGAGAGAUUGACUUCAUCACAGUAUUUGUGAGUAGUAUUGACAUGUUGAAUGAACCGAGCUGUCUGUUUAAGCUACUAGCACACAACUCAGACACCCAUGCAUACGCCACAAAGCAUGUCACCAGAGGUCUCUUCACAGUCCCCAAGUCCAGAACAGACUAUGGGAGGCGUACAGUACUACAUAGAGCCAUGACUACAUGGAACUCCAUUCCACAUUAAGUAACUCAUGCAAGCAGUGAAUUCAGAUUUAAAAAAAACAGAUAAAACUACACCUUAUGGAACAGCAGAGACUGUGAAGAGACUCACACACACACGCAGGCAGAGACACACGCAUACACACAUAAUAACAUAUGCACUAUACACACACGUAUACAUGUAUUUUGUGUUGUAGAUAUGUGGUAGUAGAGUAGUGGCCUGAGGGCACACACUUAAUGUAUUGUGAAAAAUGUUGUGAAAUGUAAUGUAAUGUUUUUAAUUGUAUAUAAUUUGUUUUGUAACUUAAUUUUGCCUUGGCAGCAGCUAAUUGGGAUGCAUAUAAAUAGAAAAUACUAAUAUUGAGUUUGAAAGGAAGCCAAAAAGGUAUUUUUAACAGCACACGUUACCAUGGUAGAGAGAGAGGGUGUGUGUGUGUGUGUGUUUGAGAGAGAGAGAGAGAGACAGAGAGAGAGAGAGAGAGAGAGAGAGAGAGAGAGAGAGAGAAAGAAAGAAUAUAAAUAGAGCGAUAGAGAUAAUAAUGAAUUAAAGGUUAAAUAAAUAAAACAUGUUUUUUUAAAGAGAGAAAGCGAGCGAGAGAGAGGGAGAGAGAGAGAAAGCGAGAGAGAGAGAAAGCGAGAGAGAGAGAGAACGAGAGAGAGAGAGAGAGAGAGAGAGAGAGAGAGAGAGAGAGAGAGAGAGAGAGAAAGAUCCCCUUGAUGAUAAGAAAAUAUACUGGGUGAUGAAAAACAACAAAUGAGUCAGUCAGUUUCUAAAGUCUCCCCUACAUUGUCCUGUAGAAAAUAUUUGUUAUCAAGAAUGUAUUGAGGCAAACAAUUACAGGUACGUUUGACUUGAUGCAUCAAGAAAAGUGUCCUAAAUUACAUCAACUACAACUUCUGGCACUGUCUGUACUCAUUAACCAAAACAGGAACACUAACCAAAGGUAUGAGUACUACAAUGAGUCUCUGGUCAGGUGGUCACUGCGAGUCUGACAUGAUCUGCUGUUUCACAGGCUGGCUGGGCAGUUCCCAACAGAUCCAGGUGUGUUAGGCACAGAUAAAAACAUAAUAAGUUAAACAAGAAAAUGGGGAGAGAGGGGGAAAAGGUAUAGGCUCCCACUGCCAGGUGUGACGUCACAUAAAGGGAAAGGACAUGCAUGCAGGGGAAAUUUCCCCCUACUGAGGGGAAUUGCGCCAGCUUUUAUAGCCUUAUGCCAGCAAGUGGGGUCUGACUCACCCUGUCAUAAAAAAAGUAUGUGACAAUGGAAGUCUCCAUGGUAACCCCCUCCCCUCACCCAUUUGCCACACUCACCUGUGCCUCUCACAUUCAUUAAUUAUCCCUCUGUCUGGUGACAUCACCUCUGAUAUUCUCGGUAUUUGAUGUCUGGGUUCUCCUGCCCUCUACGCUUAAACUCCAUUUGACCCAAUGGUUUGGAAAUAAACAUUCAUGAGAACUUGAAUCUACACCUCAAGGGUCACAGAUUGACAGUCAUUCUCCUCCUACUCUGGAUAGAGAGCAAAAGUCAAGCCAAAAAAGGCAAAGAUGAGGACUUUUUCACUGUUUAUAGGUGCAACAAUAGCUGCCCGGACACCAAUCCUAGGCUUUUAAUAACACAAAGUCAACAUUGUCUCCAGAGUGUACUUAGUAUGCUUUUCAUGCUUUUCAUUUGGGCUGGACAGUCAUACUACUCCCACAAACAAGCAAGCUAAUUGAGCUAGCAUGUGCAAAGAGCCUAUUGUAAUAGUGUACACAUUGCAGAGGCCACCUACAUAAACCAGGUUACAUGUACCACUGUGGAACCACCAAAAGGCAAAAAUUUGACAGGUUUUUUCUCUCCUGAGGUCGGUCAGAGAUUUCUUUUGAAGUAGCUUUGCAAAGAAGGGUUUAUUUGCCUGUAAAGAAAUAGUUGAAUAAAGUGUCCUUUCAUCUGUUAGGAUAUUGCAUCAGUUAUGGGGGGAGUUUGACAGUGGAUGUGUUUCUUUUUAACUACACUGUUCUUGAGGAAGGUAGACUGUAUGAGCCUAAUGGUUGAGUUUUAGUCUUCAGCCAAGAUUAUGGAUAUUUUUACAUUGUGAGAAGGCAUCCAUCAAGUCAACUUUACCUAAACAACUGGAUAACCAUCUCUUGCAGAGAGGAACUAGUAAUCUUCAGCAAAUUCACAAUCUCCAUCCCUCCUCUUUCAGACUUUCUGGCACCAUGUGAUUACAGUAGGUAGGCCUACUGUGGAAAGCACAAACAUAUUUAGUGUCAUAUUAAGGGGUCCCACAGGGCUCUGUUCUGGGUCCAUUCCUGUUCUCUAUAUACAUGCUGCCACUCGGUAUAUUAAUCAUAGGGUUUGGACUAAACCUUAAUUUUUAUGCUGAUGAGGACAAAAGGGGAUACUGUAACGGUAACAACUAAACUGACAGACUCUCUAGAUGCAAUCAAGAGAUGGAUGCAGUUAAACUUCCGAAAACUUAAUUGCAACACAACAGAGCGUGUGCUUAUUGGCUCUAAGAGUGCACGGAGCAAGAUGAGCACAUUCUACCUUUCUCAAGGGUGAUGCACCUAAAUACAUAUGAGUGAACUAUUCCCCAGCACACACACAAUGAUCAUCAGACUCAAACAGCCUGGUUACACCAGCAACAAACCAGUGCAGCAUGGGUGACAGAGCCUUCUCACAUGUGGCCCCUCAGCUCUGGAAUGCGCUACCUACACACGUAAGGGAGGCAACUUUAAUUCAUAUGUAAUUUUUUGUGUGACUCAACCAAAUUCACAUAGAAAUCUAAGAUAUAUCUACUUGAAAGCAAGUCACAUAAGCGGUAGAUCUGCUCUAUGUGCGAUAUUUCUAUGCUUUCAAUUCUUAAGUUUAGUUUUUGCUUACUUUCGGUUUGGUACACUAGCUACAAACAGCUGAAAAUAAAGUAUUUUGGGUUAUUGAAAAUAUAUUUCACAACGGUUAGAUGGUACAAUGAUUCUCCACACUACGCCUUGCUUGUUUUGUCAGAUAAACUGAAAUUAGGCAAACUAGUUUUACAACUAGUAAAUGGCUAUGUUUAUUUUGUAUCAGUAGGUAGGUGAUGGUUUGAUGUAUGUGCUUGUUUUUUAAUGUAUAGUUGCUGAAAUUUGUUUGAGUUUAGUUUUCUUCCUUAUGUGCACUGAGUAUGGGAAAUGCACUUUACAAAUAAAAAUAUAUUAUUAAUAUUAAAUUGAUUGGAAACAAUACACCUCAGGAUUAAUUUGGUACAUCAUUGUUCUGAUUAAGCUACAAUUUGUUA